rnacentral:rRNA from 1 species
AUGCUGCUACAAGAGUACUUGCCUCAACAAUGGCAGCUCCUCCUCCUCCUUGCUAUGCUACCUCUCCUCUCCAUUUUCAUACUUGUAGGAGCAGGAUGGCGAAGGGGCAGCAGCACUAGGUACCACCUCCCUCCGCACCCGCCGGGGCUGCCCAUCCUCGGCAACCUGCACCGGAUGGGUGCUCUCCCACACCAGAGCCUCCGGGAGAUGGCGCGGCAGCACGGGCCCGUGAUGAUGCUGCGGCUGGGGACGGUGCCCACGUUGGUGGUGUCGUCGGCUGACGCGGCGCGGGACGUGCUCAAGACGCACGACGCCGACUGCUGCAGUCGCCCGGACACGCCAGGGCCCAGGCGGUUGUCAUACCAGCACAAUGACGUGGCCUUCAGCCCCUACAGUGAACAAUGGCGAGAGCGGCGCAAGCUCCUGGUCGUCGAGUUCCUCAGCAAGCGCCGCAUCCAGGCCACCUGGUAUGCCAGGGAGGCUGAGGUGGGUAAACUGGUGAGCGGACUAGCAGUAGCUAGCGUUAAUGGACAGGGACCAGUAUGUCUGGAGGAUCACGUCUUCGGGUACAUGGACGGCUUCGUCGGCACGGUGGCGUUCGGUAACAUGUACGGCACAGAGCACUUUGCGCACAAGGAGCACUUCCACCACGUGAUUGACGAGGCCAUGAUGGUGAGGUCUAGCUUCUCCGCCGAGGACUACUUCCCCAACGCCCUUGGCCGCCUCGUUGACCGCCUCACCGGCGUAGCCUCCCUCCGCGAGAGGGUGUUCAAGGAGUUCGAUGCCUUCUUUGAGAUGAUGCUUGGCCAGGCCAAGCCCGACAAUGACGGCUGUGUCGGCCUCAUCGACGUCCUCAUCGGCCUCAUGAAGGAGAAGCACCAAGGCCCUUUCAGGGUCAGCAGAGACGUCGUCAAGGCGCUACUAACGAACACAUUUAUCGGUGCCGUGGACACAGGCGCGGUGACCAUUAUUUGGGCAAUGGCGGAGCUGGUUCGGAACCCACAUGUGCUGAACAAGGUGCAAAACGAGAUCAGAACUAUGGCGGGCAACAAAGAGAGGGUGCAGCAAGACGAUGUGGCCAAGCUGGAGUAUCUCAAGAUGGUGGUCAUGGAGACAUUGCGCCUGCACCCGGCGUUGCCCCUUCUUGUGCCGAGGGAGACCAUGCGGCACAUCACCGUCUCUGGUUACGAUGUUCCCGCAAAGACGAGGAUCUUGGUGAACGCAUGGGCCAUUGGGAGGGACCCAACCAACUGGGAAAACCCCGAGGAGUUCAUCCCGGAAAGAUUCGAGGGCGAGGAGGAUGUGAACUUCAACCGGGCACAGUUUGAAUUCCUACCCUUCGGUGCUGGACGUAGGAUGUGCCCCGGGAUAGACAUGGGGUUAGCCACCACAGAGUUCACCCUGGCAAACUUGCUCUACUGCUUCGACUGGGAGCUCCCGGAGGGGCUGAGAAGUGAGGACAUGAGCAUGGAAGAGGCAGGAGGACUCACCAUCCAUAAGAAGAUGCCGCUCUUGCUGGUGCCGACAAGAUACAAGUGUGGUAACGCUAGCUGA